rnacentral:misc_RNA from 1 species
GGCUUAGUUGAGUUGAGUUGUAGAUCUUGCAUCACUAUACAUUUAACAAAAAUGCACAUUUCAUAAGCAUCUUCCUUUAUUCCAGUACAGAAGAGCACUGGGCCUCAAGCACAGGACAUCUUUCCAAAUCCCCACUCCUUCAACCACCCGUUCUAAGCCAGGUGGAGACAUCUUCCUUGUUUCACACAACAUUGGAUCACAUGCAACUGUUUCAAUGCCAUGCUUGAUUCCUAGCUCCCGUGCUUUCCUUCUCUACGACGUUUUAGCUUUUUCAGAGUUGUUUACCAAUUUCUCCUUUCCCUUAGCAU